GGCGCCGUGGCGGAGUGGUUACGCAGCGGCCUGCAAAGCCGUGUACCCCGGUUCGAUUCCGGGCGGCGCCU
rnacentral:tRNA from 1 species